UGAUCGUAGGUGAAGCGACCUGGAAAGGUCCGCGGGACAAGGUAAAAGCCCUGUAGCCGAAACGGUCACUCCUCCGGAGUGUAUCCUGAGUACGGCGGGACACGUGAAACCCCGUCGGAAGCAGGGAGGACCAUCUCCCAAGGCUAAAUACUUCCUAGUGACCGAUAGUGACCAGUACCGUGAGGGGAAGGUGAAAAGCACCCCGGGAGGGGAGUGAAAUAGAUCUUGAAACCGUGUGCCUACAAGUAGUUGGAGCCCGUUAAUGGG
rnacentral:rRNA from 1 species